CACGUGGGUAAUUUGCCAUGAAGCCCGGAAUAACUCGCUGAAAGGCGAGCUAAUACCGGAUGUGAUUUUUGGGGAGCAUUCCCCGAAACUUAAAGCUGGGGACCGCAAGGCCUGGCACUUCAUGAUAAGCCCGCGGCCUAUCAGCUAGUUGGUGAGGUAAUGGCUCACCAAGGCUAAGACGGGUAGCUGGUCUGAGAGGACGACCAGCCACACUGGAACUGAGACACGGUCCAGACACCUACGGGCGGCAGCAGUCGAGAAUUUUUCACAAUGGGCGAAAGCCUGAUGGAGCGACGCCGCGUGGGGGAUGAAUGGCUUCGGCCCGUAAACCCCUGUCAUUUGCGAACAAACCUUGUCAUUUAAAAGAUGACGAGCUGAUUGUAGCGAAAGAGGAAGGGACGGCUAACUCUGUGCCAGCAGCCGCGGUAAUACAGAGGUCCCAAGCGUUGUUCGGAUUCACUGGGCGUUGUUUUUUCGGAUUCCUGGGCGUAAGGGUGCGUAGGUGGUCGGGUAAGUCUGAUGUGAAAUCUCCGAGCUCAACUCGGAAACUGCAUCGGAUACUAUUCGGCUCGAGGGUUGGAGGGGGGACUGGAAUACUUGGUGUAGCAGUGAAAUGCGUAGAUAUCAAGUGGAACACCAGUGGCGAAGGCGAGUCGCUGGACAACUCCUGACACUGAGGCACGAAAGCUAGGGGAGCAAACAGGAUUAGAUACCCUGGUAGUCCUAGCCGUAAACGGUGCACGUUUGCUGUAAAAGGAAUCGACCCCUUUUGUGGCGAAGCUAACGCGUUAAACGUGCCGCCUGGGAAGUACGGUCGCAAGAUUAAAACUCAAAGAAAUUGACGGGGGCCUGCACAAGCGGUGGAGUAUGUGGCUUAAUUCGAUGCAACGCGAAGAACCUUACCUGGCCUUGACAUGUAUCUAGUAGAAGGGUGAAAGCCUGACGAGGUAGCAAUACCAGGAUACACAGGUGCUGCAUGGCUGUCGUCAGCUCGUGUCGUGAGAUGUUGGGUUAAGUCCCGCAACGAGCGCAACCCU
rnacentral:rRNA from 1 species